ensembl:lncRNA
CUAGCCUGGGAAUCAGCUGAGAAAUGAAUGUGGUAAUGAAAUACAGCAGGAAGAUGGAAACAGGAAAGUGCAGAGCUAGAAGAGGAAAGGACGUUUAGAAGAGUAAAGGGGACAUUUGGAAACUUAAUUCCAAUAUUAACAUUGCAGAUUACAUCCAGACAUUACAAUAUUAACCUGCAUUUUUUUCUGGAUUAGACAGGCAAUCUUGCCUCUGAAUUUCUGAGCACCAAAGCUGAAACUUGUCAAAUGUUAUUGUGAAGCAGAGACUCUCAAAUACAAUGGUUUUGUCUGCCAAGGAACAUCAUCAAACGGCAUUUAAUGUUUUCACAACUAAGAAGUACUUCAGGCAUCAGGGUCUUGGCAAAUUAUUAAUUAUCUUUAUUCAGAGUCACCGCAAGAAAUAUGUAGAGGAGUCUGGUUAAUGAAGCUUGCUGAGAUGGAGACAAUUUAUGAAUGUGCUGAUCAUGCAGUAUGAGUUCUGCCUCCAGCACCCUCUAGUGCCAUUCCACCUGGGAUAUAAAAUAGAGCACUGUGCGGGAUGACAGGCUCAUCAUUGUCAACAGCAUCAGCAUCAGCAUCGUUUGGCCAUAAAAGAGUGCUCUCAGAGUAGGUUAGGAACAGACCUGGAACAAGAUGAACGUGCAAAAGGCAAGUAAGCCAAAGCCCCUGUGGCUGGGCUGCUCAGAACUGACUCAGAUGUAUCUCACCUAAUAAAAAAAUCCCUCUGCACA